rnacentral:rRNA from 1 species
UACAUAGGCACCAAGCGUUGUCCGGAUUUAUUGGGCGUAAAGGGCUCGUAGGUGGUUCGGUAAGUCGGGUGUGAAAACUUUGGGCUCAACCCAAAGCCUGCAUCCGAUACUGCUGUGACUAGAGUUCGGUAGGGGAGCGGGGAAUUCCUAGUGUAGCGGUGAAAUGCGCAGAUAUUAGGAGGAACACCGGUGGCGAAGGCGCCGCUCUGGGCCGAUACUGACACUGAGGAGCGAAAGCGUGGGUAGCAAACAGGAUUAGAAACCCGGGUAGU